GGGGAAUAUUGCACAAUGGGCGAAAGCCUGAUGCAGCAACGCCGCGUGAGGGAUGACGGCCUUCGGGUUGUAAACCUCUUUUAGUAGGGAAGAAGCGAAAGUGACGGUACCUGCAGAAAAAGCACCGGCUAACUACGUGCCAGCAGCCGCGGUAAUACGUAGGGUGCAAGCGUUGUCCGGAAUUAUUGGGCGUAAAGAGCUCGUAGGCGGCUUGUCGCGUCUGCUGUGAAAUCCCGGAGCUCAACUCCGGGCGUGCAGUGGGUACGGGCAGGCUAGAGUGCGGUAGGGGAGAUUGGAAUUCCUGGUGUAGCGGUGGAAUGCGCAGAUAUCAGGAGGAACACCGAUGGCGAAGGCAGAUCUCUGGGCCGCUACUGACGCUGAGGAGCGAAAGCAUGGGGAGCGAAC
rnacentral:rRNA from 1 species